rnacentral:lncRNA from 1 species
AAGUGCUUGUACAAGUAAUUAAUUAUUGGCCAUGCCUAAGAAUACAUCUUCAAUUACAUGCUGUAUCCUCCAGUUCUCUGUGAUCAAGAAAUUUUAGUUUCGUCUCAAGCUGACUAAGUUUUCAUUCAAAGGAAGGUUUUUCUUUGUCAGAUCCUUUAUUUAUGUGUGAGCCCUUUGCUUUGAAAAAUAUGUUUGAUCAGUGUAAACUGAACCACUUGCUAAGAAUUUUCAUUGAAGUUGUUAGGUACAUUGUUUAGGGUGGGUGAUUCUUAGGGUGCUGGCUCUUUGAUCUAGUCUAUGUCGAUUGUCACAUGUG